rnacentral:rRNA from 1 species
UACGUAGGGCGCGAGCGUUGUCCGGAAUUAUUGGGCGUAAAGAGCUCGUAGGCGGCCUGUUGCGUCCGCUGUGAAAUCCCGGGGCUUAACCCCGGGUCUGCAGUGGAUACGGGCAGGCUAGAGGCAGGCAGGGGAGAACGGAAUUCCCGGUGUAGCGGUGAAAUGCGCAGAUAUCGGGAGGAACACCGGUGGCGAAGGCGGUUCUCUGGGCCUGUUCUGACGCUGAGGAGCGAAAGCGUGGGGAGCGAACAGG